CCAAAAGAAAAUCCAGUCUAUUCUGAGGUCAAGACAGGGAAGGCCACAGCAGCAACUGGACCUGUUGAUGUGACCUAUGCUGAGGUUGACCUUAAACAGAAGGCCAAAGCCAAGAAGAAGAAAGAAACAGAAACCCCACCUGAGGCAGAUUCGGUCUAUUCUCAAGUGAAGCCAGUCACAGCCCCAGG